rnacentral:rRNA from 1 species
ACGAAGGGUGCAAGCGUUACUCGGAAUUACUGGGCGUAAAGCGUGAGUAGGUGGUUUCUUAAGUCUGCUGUGAAAGCCCCGGGCUCAACCUGGGAACUGCAUUGGAUACUGGCUUACUAGAGUGCGGUAGAGGGGUGUGGAAUUCCCGGUGUAGCAGUGAAAUGCGUAGAUAUCGGGAGGAACAUCUGUGGCGAAGGCGACACCCUGGACCAGCACUGACACUGAGGCACGAAAGCGUGGGGAGCAAACAGGA